rnacentral:rRNA from 1 species
GUCUACGGCCAUGCUACCCUGAACAAACCCCAUCUCGUUUGAUCUCAGAAGCUAAGCAGGGUGGGGCCUGGUUAGUACUUUAUGGAAGACCACCUAGGAAGACCAGGUGCUGUAGGAG